UUAAGCUAGCAACAAUUAGACUUCGAAGUUUGCUUAUAACAAUCCAUUACCAUGCGUCGCUACUUUGAUUAAGGGGUCAGCGUUGCCACGAUGACCACCCAGAAAACAAAACGUUUUUAACCAUACGCAUGGAGAUACUUUUCCCAGGUGCAUCAGAGAGUUUAAGGUCAACAGAAAAAUAGUUCUUAAGGCUUGAAGAACACAAAUCAGGUGCGAGACAGAGAUGAAAGAAGGAAAGAGGGGAAGAUCAAAGAGAGGAAUGGAAAGGAGGACACCGAAACCUCAGGCCUGUCUGACAGUCGGUCUCGACAGCACACCUGUAGAGCAGAGCCCAGACCCACAGUCACCUCUCUCACAAAAUCACACGCAAAGAAAAAAAUAUAUAAUGCACAGGUGUUUCACCUCCUUCUAAACAAUGUGAGCGAAGAUGCUUGGGAUUCUAAAAAGACAGUAAAGACUUUGACCAACCUGUCUGACACAUCUUGCACUAAAGGUGUGCUCGAUUGAGGGAGGAGCAUUAUUUUGCUACCUGCAAAACCCCAAAGUCUAGCCAUUGUCUAACCAAAGUCUAACCAUCACCAUUAUGAAUUCAAGUUUUUCUGUGUGACCCCCAAACAUAACCUGAUUAAAAUAGUUUCCUGCAUACACACAAAAAAACUGUGGCACAUUACAAAUAAACAAUCCAUAAUCUUGAA